AGGGCUCUAAUGCUCUGGAGGACACAUCCUUAUUCUCCAAGAUCUCUAUCAAGUCAUUUAGGAGGGAAAGACUGGCGGAAAGAGAAAUACACAAACCUCAGAAGGGAGCAGACAAUUCACACAUUUCUACAGUUUAACCUUCAGUGCCAAAUCUCACUCUGUAGCCCAGGCUGGAAUGCAGUGGUGCGAUCUCAGCUCACCGCAACCUCCGCCUCCGGAGUUCAAGCAAUUCUCCUGCCUCAGCCUCUGAGUAGCUGGGACUACAGGCACACACCACCAUGCCCAGAGAGAAACAGAAGUGGCUGGUUAUGAAAACCGGCAGCACAGCUUUUUCCCUCCCUGUGGUGUCUUCCCAGAUAAGAAAGCAGGCCUGAAUCCCGGGUGCUGUUCUUCCAGACCACAUGAAAGGUACUGUCUCAGGCUCCUCAUCUGGAACUUUUAUGCUUUACAAAGAUGAUAAUAGUCCCUCAAAAUCACCUACAAUGCUGAAUUAAAUAGCAUUCAAAGUAUACUAGGAGAAAAUUACAGUCAAGUUUGAGUCAACAGAUCUCUUAACCUGGUAACUUUUAGGAAACCACUUAAUUUCUGCAACUCAGUCAUCUUCCCUAUAAAAUGGGAAUAAUAAAACCUAUCUUGACUACUCUAAAGACUAGUAUUGAGAAGCAAAUGAGGUAAGAGACAUGAGAAAGAUUUAGAAAUUAUAAAAUUCAACAUAAAUACAAAUUAAUGAGGUACAUCUAUUAUGUCACCUGAUCUUUAUAACGUGACAAUUGUCCAAAUCAAAAUGGAGUCACUAAAGUUUUUUUUUGUUUGCUUGUUUGCUUGUUUGUUUUUAAAAAAACCCUGAUAAAUAGAGCCACAGAAGUCCAUGAAGAGAGGAUUCUCAUAUUCGUAUACCUGACAAGAAACACUAUCACAAUGACUGCAAAAAACACAACCUUGUACAAAGACCAUUACAAACUUACACAAAAGAAUACCUUUGCAAGGACAUCUGCCCAGCAAUUGCCUGUCCAAUCUCAGACUGGUGUCACUCUUGUUAUUUAUCUUUGUAACCAAGGAUAAUUAUUUCAAAACAAUUAUGUAAUUCUCCUCAUUUUUUCCUUUAAAAACCAUUUCUUUCUUUUACCUCCCUGAGUACUCAUAUGGGCACAGCAGUCUCAUUGCAGUGUAUUCUCAUGCACUAUUCCCAAAUAAAUAUUUUUUUCUUUUAGAAAGCCUCUCUCUGUUUGUUAUUUAGGCUGACAAUAACAACCCCAGGAAAUGGGUAAGUUAUUAUCCCUAUUUAUUGAUGGGUUGCGGGGGAGAAACAGAAAAGGAUCAGGCUAUUUGCUUAAAGUCCCUCAGCAAGUUGGCUCCCAAGGCAAGUCCAGUGCCCUUGCAUCCCAUCACCUCCUAGACCCUCCACCAGUGCUGCUUAUUCUCUCUGCUGUUUUCCCAGAAUCAUUCACUGCCCUUCUCCACAUCACAGGAGCUCCUGUCUCCUCUGACUUCAGGUUGGACUGGCUAAUAGAAAGACCAAAAGGUGGCAGGAGAGCAGAGUUGAGCAUUCGUUCCCUGGCUCUCCCCCUGCCUCAGCACUGUGGCUCUGACAAUGACUGGAUCCCUCUACAACUUCGACUCUUAUCUAGAGCCUCCUUCCACAGUGAUUCUGCAUAUCUGUUACAUUCUAAGGCCACUUCACAACACUACCAAACCCAGCUUUACAGUUUGGAAGACUGAGAGAAUCAUACCCAAAGCCACAAACAUCCAAAUAUGGUGUUCUUCACAAGAAACUAAUAAUGAACUUGAGACAGAGUCUGCAGGGAUAGAUGAUGACUUGGGAUUCGGUGCUUACAGGAGACUGGCUCUUCACAUUCUUUGCAUCCACAGUUCCAAGGAGGCUUUAGAGCUCAAUACUUUCCAGCCAGUGACAUUUCUAAAUGCAUUUUCCAAAUGAAGUCAAUGCCCUCAGGCAGCCCAGUGGGGAGGUCAUGGAGAGCCAGUGAGAAGGAAGUCUGCAGGGAGCUCAUGCCAAAAUAUUUGCUGGAUGGCACUAAUGACCACCACCACAACAGACUGCGUAGGAGAAAACACUGAGAAAUUGAAAUGGGAGAAUUCCCUGACACCCCUUGCUGAACGUGAGACAGGGAUGUGACUCAUCUGUUCAGUAACCACUGCUCCUCAAACCCCUUAUGUGAGGGGAGCAUGCAGACAGGAGGAGGAAAAGAAGGCCCUUGGAAAUUGCCAUUCUGGAAUUGAAAACUUAAAUCCUCCAGACAACCAUUAACUUUUAAAGGACAUCUAAAAGUGCAGCUCUGUGAUAACCAAGAAGAUGAUGGUGAUAGUUCUGCCUAUGACUGAAUACACAAAUCUCUUAAACCUCUACAGCUGCUCAACAAAACAAAGAAAUAAACAUUGCAUUUUGCAGAGAA
rnacentral:lncRNA from 1 species